rnacentral:rRNA from 1 species
ACGCUGGCGGCGUGCUUAACACAUGCAAGUCGAACGAUGAAAGCGGGAGCUUGCUCCUGCUGGAUUAGUGGCGAACGGGUGAGUAACACGUGAGCAAUCUGCCCCGAACUCUGGGAUAAGCGUUGGAAACGACGUCUAAUACCGGAUACGACGCGCGAAGGCAUCUUCUGCGCGUGGAAAGAAUUUCGGUUCGGGAUGAGCUCGCGGCCUAUCAGCUAGUUGGUGAGGUAAUGGGCUCACCAAGGCGACGACGGGUAGCCGGCCUGAGAGGGUGACCGGCCACACUGGGACUGAGACACGGCCCAGACUCCUACGGGAGGCAGCAGUGGGGAAUAUUGCACAAUGGGCGCAAGCCUGAUGCAGCAACGCCGCGUGAGGGACGACGGCCUUCGGGUUGUAAACCUCUUUUAGUAGGGAAGAAGCGAAAGUGACGGUACCUGCAGAAAAAGCACCGGCUAACUACGUG